rnacentral:rRNA from 1 species
UACGAAGGGUGCAAGCGUUGCUCGGAAUUAUUGGGCGUAAAGAGCGUGUAGGCGGUUCGUUAAGUCGCUUGUGAAAGCCCCCGGCUCAACCGGGGAACUGCAAGCGAUACUGGCGAGCUAGAGUGUCGGAGGGGAUAGUGGAAUUUCCAGUGUAGGGGUGAAAUCCGUAGAUAUUGGAAGGAACACCUGUGGCGAAGGCGGCUAUCUGGACGAUUACUGACGCUGAGGCGCGAAAGCAUGGGUAGCAAACAGG